rnacentral:rRNA from 1 species
GACGAACGCUGGCGGCGUGCUUAACACAUGCAAGUCGAACGGAAAGGCCCUGCUUUUGUGGGGUGCUCGAGUGGCGAACGGGUGAGUAACACGUGAGUAACCUGCCCUUGACUUUGGGAUAACUUCAGGAAACUGGGGCUAAUACCGGAUAGGAGCUCCUGCUGCAUGGGGGGGGUUGGAAAGUUUCGGCGGUUGUGGAUGGACUCGCGGCUUAUCCGCUUGUUGGGGGGGUAGUGGCUUACCAAGGCUUUGACGGGUAGCCGGCCUGAGAGGGUGACCGGCCACAUUGGGACUGAGAUACGGCCCAGACUCCUACGGGAGGCAGCAGUGGGGAAUAUUGCACAAUGGGCGGAAGCCUGAUGCAGCAACGCCGCGUGCGGGAUGACGGCCUUCGGGUUGUAAACCGCUUUCGCCUGUGACGAAGCGUGAGUGACGGUAAUGGGUAAAGAAGCACCGGCUAACUACGUG